rnacentral:lncRNA from 1 species
UUUUUUUUUUUUUUUUUUGAGAUGAAGUCUCGCUCUGUUGCCCAGGCUGGACUGCAGUGGCCUGAUCUCAGCUCGCUGCAACCUCCGCCUCCCAGGUUCAAGCGAUUAUCCUGUCUCACCCUCCCGAGAAGCUGGGAUUGCAGGCAUGUACCACCAUCCCUGGCUAAUUUUUUGUAUUUUUAGUAGAGACAGGGUUUCAUUAUGUUGGCCAGGCUGUUCUCAAACUCCUGACCUCAAGUGACCCACCUGCCUCGGCCUCCCAAAAUGUUGGGAUUACAGGCGUGAGCCAUAGCGCCCGCCCCAGAUCUCUUCCAAGAGCACUUCCUUCCCUUAAACUAGUGGGUCCAGAUCUUUGACUCUUGGUUUCCCUCUGCAACUCAUCCAUCCAGACAGUUCCUUGGCACCACUGUCAAAAUACUGUGGUCGUGCACAUUUCUGGAUCUUCAGGGCAGAAUAAUCCUGAAGUUUUUGUAACCCUUCCAAGGAAGGAGUUCUGGAAAACAUGACUAUAAUUUUGAGACUGGGAUGAAAUUAAGUGAGCUUUCCUGAUAGGAAUCCAUACAAGUCUUUAAUGGCAGCUUUCUUUCCUGAGCCUUUUUCCCCUCAACAUCAGACUUUUGUAAGGACUUUUUAUACCCAAGAGCUGUACUAAGCACUCUAUAGGAAAGGAUCUGAUGAACUCCUUCAGAAACACUAUGUGACCAAUUUGUUAAUACCUCUGUUUUAAAGAUGAGGAAACUGAUGCUUAUAAAUAGGGUGUCUCUAUUUUGUUUCAAAUUCUUAUUCAGCCUUUAAACUUAACCCUCAAGAGGUUAAGACUUUACAAUAGAAACUUUUUUUCCAACAGGAUGCUUCAAAAUACCAAAUUAGAUGUGAAAAAUUUGAAAAAUAUCAUCAUCAUAAGAGAAUGAUGGAUCAUAGGGUAUAUUUUAUGAUGCAUUUGUUUUAUUUCAGCUUCUGCCUCAGCAAAUAUAUCUCAAUUACAAUGAAUAAACUUGAAGGUGAAUUAAUAAAAGUUUACUUGAUUACUAUGUAGGAGAAGGGAUGGGUAUAAUUAUUUGCCUCGAUGAUACAAAUUUAGACAAAAAGAGAGGUAAGAGGUCUGAACUUAUUGACUACUCUUCAUGUUUACGUUCAACCAGUAUUAAUUCCAGUAACUACCAUCUGUUCUUCUUCCAGUCAAUGCCUGUCGAUUAGGAGAAGCCGCAGAUUCAGCCCAGGAGUAUUUUGAUCUUAGAUAUAGGUUGUGUGAUGACUGGCAGAAAAUGCUAUAGAGUGAGGUAAAAAGAUUAUGAUUCUCCUCUACUUACCAAGGUGUCCCAUAGUGACAAACCUAGUGAUCAGGAAACCCAGACUCCCUUACCAUCACCUCACUCCUUUGUUCAAUUUUGUUUGACCAUUUCAUAGGCUGACAAGCAUCAAAACAUGGACUCCCAUACAUUGGAAAAGUAGCUGGAUCUUCCUCCAGUGUUGUAAAGGCCACUGUGGUCAAAGUUUUCAAUCAGAAUUACUAAGAUUGACCGAGACAGGAGGCUCACUUAAGACCAGGAGUUCGAGGCCAGCCUGGACAACGUAGCAAGACCC